UUUUCAAUUCAAGUGGCUUCUAUGAAUCUACUUGUGUGUGCAGACAGCUGCAAUUGUACUAAGCUGAACAAGUUGUUGAUUGGCUGAUAUUGAAGCAUUAGGUGGUGAUUGUUUAAACUUGAUAAUGGCGUAAAAGUUCUUACCAAGUGUAUUGUUUGCAUCUUUGUUUAGGAAUACCUCUAGGCUAAGUGAUGUUCUAAAAUCCAAAAAUGAAGAAAAUGGGGCUUACUUAUCUGAAAUUGAGGCAUAUGAUGAUAUCAAAACCAAAGAUCUUUGCUAGGAGUUGCCUCUCAAAUACAAA